UCUUCAUUUCGCAUGCUCUCUCACCGGUCAGAGAGGCGAGAGAGUGCGCUAAAUGGAGAGG
rnacentral:pre_miRNA from 1 species